UUAUACAACCUCAACUCAUAUGGGACUACCCCCUGAAUUUAAGCAUAUUAAUUAGGGGAGGAAAAGAAACUAACAAGGAUUUUCUUAGUAGCGGCGAGCGAAAAGAAAUCAGUUCAGCACUAAGUCACUUUGUCUAUAUGGCAAAUGUGAGAUGCAGUGUAUGGAACAUCAAUAUUCUAGUAUGAGAAAUUAACGAUUUAAGUCCUUCUUAAAUGAGGCCAUUUACCCAUAGAGGGUGCCAGGCCCGUAUAACGUUAAUGAUUAUUAGAUGGUGUUUCCAAAGAGUCGUGUUGCUUGAUAGUGCAGCACUAAGUGGGUGGUAAACUCCAUCUAAAACUAAAUAUAACCAUGAGACCGAUAGUAAACAAGUACCGUGAGGGAAAGUUGAAAAGAACUCUGAAUAGAGAGUUAAAUAGUACGUGAAACUGCUUAGAGGUUAAGCCCGAUGAACCUGAAUAUCCGUUAUGGAAAAUUCAUCAUUAGAGUUGUAAUAUUUAAACAAUAUUAUAAUAAUAGUGUGCAUUUUUUCCAUAUAAGGACAUUGUAAUCUAUUAGUAUCAAUAAUUUAUCAAAAAAUUUAAGAAAAUAGUUUAUUUAAAUUAGAAUGCUUGCAUUUUAACAUAAAAUAAAUUUCAUAAAUUUGAUAAAGUGCUGAUAGAUUUAUAUGAAUACAGUGCGUUAAUUUUUCGGAAUUAUAUAAUGGCAUGAUUAUCAUUGAUUUUUAUGUUUAUUAUAUGCACUUGUAUGAUUAACAAUGCGAAAGAUUCAGGAUACCUUCGGGACCCGUCUUGAAACACGGACCAAGGAGUCUAACAUAUGUGCAAGUUAUUGGGAUAAAAACCUAAUAGCGUAAUUAACUUGACUAAUAAUGGGAUUAGUUUUUUAACUAUUUAUAGUUAAUUAACACAAUCCCGGGGCGUUCUAUAUAGGUAUGUAUGAUAAUAUUUAUAUUAUUUAUGCCUCUAACUGGAACCGUCCUUGAGCAUAUAUGCUGUGACCCGAAAGAUGGNGGACU
rnacentral:rRNA from 1 species